AUUGAACGCUGGCGGCAUGCCUUACACAUGCAAGUCGAACGGUAACAGGUCUUCGGAUGCUGACGAGUGGCGAACGGGUGAGUAAUACAUCGGAACGUGCCCGAGAGUGGGGGAUAACGAGGCGAAAGCUUUGCUAAUACCGCAUACGAUCUCAGGAUGAAAGCAGGGGACCGCAAGGCCUUGCGCUCACGGAGCGGCCGAUGGCAGAUUAGGUAGUUGGUGGGAUAAAAGGUUACCAGGCCGACGAUCUGUAGCUGGUCUGAGAGGACGACCAGCCACACUGGGACUGGGACACGGCCCAGACUCCAACGGGAGGCAGAAGUGGGGAAUUUUGGAAAAUGGGCGCAAGCGUGAUCCAGCCUUGCCGCGUGCAGGAUGAAGGCCUUCGGGUUGUAAACUGCUUUGUACGGAACGAAAAGACUUCUUCUAAUAAAGGGGGUCCAUGUCGGUACCGUAAGAAUAAGCACCGGCUAACUACGUGCCAGCCGCCACAGUAACAC
rnacentral:rRNA from 1 species